rfam:Felis catus isolate Cinnamon breed Abyssinian chromosome F2, whole genome shotgun sequence.
GCUUGGGUGGCUCAGUCGGUUAAGCGUCUGACUUCGGCUCAGGUCAUGAUCUUGUGGUCUGUGAGUUCAAGCCUCGCGUCUGAGCU